UCUGCUCCUAAAGGAAGGUGUGGCUCCUGUGUCCCAGGUACAUCAAUAGGUUUCAGAAAGAAGAGAAGCUCUGUCUAUGCUCAAUGUUCUGACUUGUGAACAUCUGGAUGAUUAGUAUUCUAAAACG
ensembl:snoRNA